rnacentral:ncRNA from 1 species
UCUUAUCGAGAGUGGCGGAGGGACUGGCCCUAUGAAGCCCGGCAACCUGACAGUGUCAAGGUGCUAAAUCCAGCGGUGUAAACCGAAAGAUGAG